CCGGGAGAGAGAGAAGCUAAUCUGAACUGGGGCCUGGGAAAGAGGAGGAAGGUGUGUCAGGUGUGCCUCCUCUCUGGGUGUGACUCCCGGGUGUGUCUUCCCAGGUGUGUCUUCCCAGGUGUGCCUCUCAAGGUGAACUGCCACAGAUGGACCGUCUGGUGUGUUCCUUUCCAGACAGGCCAGCAAUGCUGUUGAGAAUCAGAGAGAUUUUGUUUGCACAUAUCAAAUCAGAAGUUGAAAGCAUGCUGUUCCUGUGCUGUGGAACCAUGAAGAUUUCAUUUCAUAUUUUAUCUCAAGAAAAUUAUCCAGGAAUGCUUGAGAAUGUGUUUGCCUACCUUAGUACGUGCAGUUUUGG
rnacentral:lncRNA from 1 species